GAUGAACGCUGGCGGCGUGCUUAACACAUGCAAGUCGAACGGUGAACGAGGGAGCUUGCUCCCUCCGGAUCAGUGGCGAACGGGUGAGUAACACGUGAGCAAUCUGCCCCGAACUCUGGGAUAAGCGCUGGAAACGGCGUCUAAUACCGGAUACGACGCGCGAAGGCAUCUUCUGCGCGUGGAAAGAAUUUCGGUUCGGGAUGAGCUCGCGGCCUAUCAGCUAGUUGGUGAGGUAACGGCUCACCAAGGCGACGACGGGUAGCCGGCCUGAGAGGGUGACCGGCCACACUGGGACUGAGACACGGCCCAGACUCCUACGGGAGGCAGCAGUGGGGAAUAUUGCACAAUGGGCGCAAGCCUGAUGCAGCAACGCCGCGUGAGGGACGACGGCCUUCGGGUUGUAAACCUCUUUUAGUAGGGAAGAAGCGAAAGUGACGAUACCUGCAGAAAAAGCACCGGCUAACUACGUGCCAGCCGCCGCGGUAAUAC
rnacentral:rRNA from 1 species